CACAUGCUUGUUACAUACCGUGGGCAAGCAGCAUAACCACUCAGCAAGCUAUAACCAGAGCCCAAUUUACUUAUGUCAGGGAUGCUAGAAGAAUGGAACCAGGGCCUUGAAAAUACUAGGCAAGUGCUCUACCACUGAGCUACACCCCCAGCCUGAAAAGAAUUGGGGGGGGGGCGUUACUGGUGGUUGAAUUCAAGGGCACUCACCCACUGAGCCACAUCACCAGCCCAGUUUUGUAUUUUAUUUGGAAACAAGAUUCUCACCGAGUUGCUUAGUGCCUUGCUGUUGCUGAGGCUGGCUUUGAACUCAACAAUCCUCCUGUCUCAGCCUCCCAAGCUUUUGGGCCAAUUUACAUUUUUUUAAUUUAUUUUUUUUAAAGAGGAGAGAGAAUUUUUUAAUAUUUAUUUUUUAGUUUUCAGCGGACACAACAUCUUUGUUUUUGUAUGUGGUGCUGAAGAUGGAACCCGGGCCGCACGCAUGCCAGGCGAGCGCGCUACUGCUUGAGCCACAUCCCCAGCCCCCAAUUUACAUUUUAGCAGGUGUUAAACUGGGUUAUCAGGGAGAGAAACAAAUACCUUUUCAUAAGGUUACUGUUAUUGUUUUUGGUGCUGGGAAUUGAACCCGGGAACACUUGGCAGCAGAGCUAUAUCCCCAGUUCCUUAUUUUGAGACAGGGUCUCACUGUUGUUACUUAGUGUGCCUGCCAUAAGGUUAUGUUUAAGAUAAGCAAAAUGGAUGAAUCCACAAGCUCAGAUGGUUUCAUCUGAAAUAAUUUCAACUUAGAAAUAACCUCAUUUACAACUGUGUGUGGGGGGUGAGCAUUGAACCUUUGUAUAAAGGAGAUGAUAAACACUGGGUUGAUUUGAGUUGUCAUCACCCAAGUAUCAGUUGUUGGCUAUGAUUAGACCCUAUCACCAUGAUGAGAUGUUGGAAAUUGAACCUCUGUUGAAUACUAAAUCCUACCACAUAGACUGAAAAGGGAUACUAAAGUGUCUAGUAAUUUUUUUUUUUUACAAUGUUCUGUUCCACACCCCUUUGGAAUAAAUGAUAGAAAUUGCUGGGCAUGGUGGCACAUGCCUGUAAUCCCAGUGGCUCAGAGGCUAAGGCAGGAAGGAGGCUUGCAGGUUUUUGAGGGCAAUCUCAGC
rnacentral:lncRNA from 1 species